CUUCUUCUGGAUUAGGAGAAAGAGGUCCUCCAGCCGUUCUCCUAGACUUGAAACAUCAGACAAUAUGGAGCAGCUAAACCCUGGUCCUGUGUAUGAAGACAUCUCAGCUCAAGCAACAGAGCAGGACGACCUUUACUACAGCAGAAUCAACUUCUCUAAGAACCAGACAAAUCCGCUCUACACCACCGUCCAGCCGCAUCAGCCCCAAGAACAGGAGCAUGUCCCCUAUGCUGUUGUCCACUUAAGAUCCAACACAACCCCUGAGUAAAUGGCCAGAUGGUGGAUCCCUAAAAUUACACAGCAAACAAAAACUUCAAGAGAAUGAAUGUAACCUUCCUUCAUGAUGUACAAAGGGAUAUGUUUCUGGUGUUACAUGAGCGAGCACCUCAGGAGCACACUGGCAGUGAUGGACAUCCAUAGAAACAAGGACCUUUUACAAGCCAUCCUGUUAAACCAUUUUAACUCAGUACAGUAAUUUCACUAUUGCCAUGAAAUGUUGAGCAGACUUUCAUAGUGUCAACAUACAAGGACACAUUUUUGUAAAGUUAUGAAAAUAUUUCAGUCAGUGCAGCCCAGUAGAACACAAUCAUACCUGGUAAAUAUCUUGAAAAUUACCGAAAAACACAUCACUGACACUGGCAACAAAAAAUUUUCUCAAAAAUUUUUGCCUCUCCUACCUUUUAAAUUUAUUCACAAAAUGGAAAAAUUUGAAGAGCAACAUUCACUGGUAGCCAUUCUUAGAGAGCCAUUGUAUUAAAUGACUAACUGUAAGUUAUUUUAUAUUGCUAGCUUGCAGUAGCUAUGCUAGGUAAAACCAACGCACUGAGAAGCUACAGCCUUCUUUGUGGUGCUAAAGCAAAUUAGCUACUUUUUCCUGUAAAUUACUUUAAAUUAGCUUUCUUGUGCUAUUAGUUUGUGUUAAAACUUAUAUGGGUAACAAUACUGUAUUUAAUAUGCUCAUGUAUGGCUCAUGAAAAAAAACUCAUCCAACAUUAUUUGUCUGCGUUGAUACCUUUGUUGCCAAUGAGUCAUGCUAAUAAGCAAACUGAACUAACGUUAGCUUCAGUGGUCAUAUUUUGUA